rnacentral:rRNA from 1 species
GAAUAUGGGGGGACCAUCCUCCAAGGCUAAAUACUCCUGACUGACCGAUAGUGAACCAGUACCGUGAGGGAAAGGCGAAAAGAACCCCGGCGAGGGGAGUGAAAAAGAACCUGAAACCGUGUACGUACAAGCAGUGGGAGCACGCUUAGGCGUGUGACUGCGUACCUUUUGUAUAAUGGGUCAGCGACUUAUAUUCUGUAGCAAGGUUAACCGAAUAGGGGAGCCGAAGGGAAACCGAGUCUUAACUGGGCGUUAAGUUGCAGGGUAUAGACCCGAAACCCGGUGAUCUAGCCAUGGGCAGGUUGAAGGUUGGGUAACACUAACUGGAGGACCGAACCGACUAAUGUUGAAAAAUUAGCGGAUGACUUGUGGCUGGGGGUGAAAGGCCAAUCAAACCGGGAGAUAGCUGGUUCUCCCCGAAAGCUAUUUAGGUAGCGCCUCGUGAAUUCAUCUCCGGGGGUAGAGCACUGUUUCGGCAAGGGGGUCAUCCCGACUUACCAACCCGAUGCAAACUGCGAAUACCGGAGAAUGUUAUCACGGGAGACACACGGCGGGUGCUAACGUCCGUCGUGAAGAGGGAAACAACCCAGACCGCCAGCUAAGGUCCCAAAGUCAUGGUUAAGUGGGAAACGAUGUGGGAAGGCCCAGACAGCCAGGAUGUUGGCUUAGAAGCAGCCAUCAUUUAAAGAAAGCGUAAUAGCUCACUGGUCGAGUCGGCCUGCGCGGAAGAUGUAACGGGGCUAAACCAUGCACCGAAGCUGCGGCAGCGACGCUGAUGCGUUGUUGGGUAGGGGAGCGUUCUGUAAGCCUGCGAAGGUGUGCUGUGAGGCAUGCUGGAGGUAUCAGAAGUGCGAAUGCUGACAUAAGUAACGAUAAAGCGGGUGAAAAGCCCGCUCGCCGGAAGACCAAGGGUUCCUGUCCAACGUUAAUCGGGGCAGGGUGAGUCGACCCCUAAGGCGAGGCCGAAAGGCGUAGUCGAUGGGAAACAGGUUAAUAUUCCUGUACUUGGUGUUACUGCGAAGGGGGGACGGAGAAGGCUAUGUUGGCCGGGCGACGGUUGUCCCGGUUUAAGCGUGUAGGCUGGUUUUCCAGGCAAAUCCGGAAAAUCAAGGCUGAGGCGUGAUGACGAGGCACUGCGGUGCUGAAGCAACAAAUGCCCUGCUUCCAGGAAAAGCCUCUAAGCAUCAGGUAACAUCAAAUCGUACCCCAAACCGACACAGGUGGUCAGGUAGAGAAUACCAAGGCGCUUGAGAGAACUCGGGUGAAGGAACUAGGCAAAAUGGUGCCGUAACUUCGGGAGAAGGCACGCUGAUAUGUAGGUGAAGUCCCUCGCGGAUGGAGCUGAAAUCAGUCGAAGAUACCAGCUGGCUGCAACUGUUUAUUAAAAACACAGCACUGUGCAAACACGAAAGUGGACGUAUACGGUGUGACGCCUGCCCGGUGCCGGAAGGUUAAUUGAUGGGGUUAGCGCAAGCGAAGCUCUUGAUCGAAGCCCCGGUAAACGGCGGCCGUAACUAUAACGGUCCUAAGGUAGCGAAAUUCCUUGUCGGGUAAGUUCCGACCUGCACGAAUGGCGUAAUGAUGGCUAGGCUGUCUCCACCCGAGACUCAGUGAAAUUGAACUCGCUGUGAAGAUGCAGUGUACCCGCGGCAAGACGGAAAGACCCCGUGAACCUUUACUAUAGCUUGACACUGAACAUUGAGCCUUGAUGUGUAGGAUAGGUGGGAGGCUU